rnacentral:misc_RNA from 1 species
AAGUCGUAACAAGGUUUCCGUAGGUGAACCUGCGGAAGGAUCAUUAUAAAAUGCUUUUAAAAAGCACCAACCUUAUGUGCAUUAGACCAUUUUGUAACUUUGGUGCGGUUUUCUGAAAUAUUUUAAUUAAUAUUUUUAGAACUUCUUUCGCCUCUUUAGUUUAUAUGCAAUUUUUUAUGUAUAUUUAUAUAUAUAUUUAUUUUUGUAUGUAAUCUAUUAGGGGGCGUCUAGAAGCGUGCCCACCAGAGGUUUAUAAUAAAAAACACCUUUUUAAAAUAACUUUGUCUGAUUAAUCUUAUUUCUUUAUUGAAAUAAAAAUUUUAAUAAAAAACAACUUUUAACAACGGAUCUCUUGGCUCUCC